CUUGAUCACGUUGCGGGCGAGGGUGAAAAGCUUCUCAUGGGAGGACCCUUGGUCAGACAAUUUUAAGUCAAUGGCUGAUUGAAGAGCUGCUGGUUUCAUCCAUUCUACUACUUUGUUUUUUCUUGAAGUUCCCUGGAAGGAGCAGAUCGAUGAAACUUCUCAUAAACUUCUCAUGGACCUCUCUCACCGGAAGACUCCUGUAGUUACAAUCUUCUCUGGAUUCUCCGUUGACAAUAGAAUUUGGACAACCAUUUUGAUAAUCCUCUUCGUCAUCACCAGAAGAUAGACGAGCAAGAUCGCUCUGUAAACUGUUGUCACAGACUUUCCUCAAGAAAUUAUCUCCUAUUUGAGGCGGAGACACGCUCACAGUUCCUUCGUUAGCCGGCAUAGUUACGUAUCGAAGUUUUUCUCAAUCUGUUCCGCGUGGUGCUCCUACAGUUUCCUUUAUACUAAUGUCUACUGACCAAGGACAAGAUCGUUGCGCGUUAACUACCUUCGGCUGCAUUUGCUUCACCGAGAUUCGCGGGACUGGUUCUCCUUUCCUGCCUCUUUUUCUGAUGAAUAUCGCGACCAGGGCCUUGAUGAAUUGGGAAACUAUCCUUUGUUCUAUAUCGCUGUUUCGACUAAUCCAGUAAAUAGAGCGUCGAGUUGCUAAGAGGAAACUUUACAUUCAAAUGUAUCAUCGACAAUGCGAUGAGAUACGUUUGAAUGUAAAUUGAGAUCUUAAUUCAGCUGUAUAGUCGUGUUUAACUUUUUCCAAUUAUCGAUUAUUAUCUUUUUUCUUGCGAUGAAUUUUUGCAUCAAAUCCGUAAGCAUUCUUCUUGUGCACUCGUUUCAAUUAAUUAGAAAAUUAUAGUAAUAUUAAUAUUCAUAGAUGAUUCGUCCUUGAAAGCAUUCUUGGAUUAAUUCAGGAAGGAAAGACCAAGGAAGAUAAAUAUUUAAAUUAGAUACUAUAAUAAUCUUUUUUAAUGACUUCACUAAUGACUUAUACAGAAAUAAAACUAUUUAUUCUUGA